ACUUUAUAACUGUCAAUCAUUCGCCACAGAUGACCGGAACUUGGUCUUGAGAUGAAAUGCAUUGAGCAUGGUUCUGGCAGCUGAUGAGGGGUCCCUUUUCCAGCCACCAUAUGCUUCCUGUACACUGUUCAUGAAUGUAUGUGUAGAUCACUGGCCAGGAGCUUAGGUUGUAGAGAGGAUGGGCUGGCUGUACUAUCAAACUGGUAGUGCAAACUUCAUGACAAAUCUGACAAGGAGAGAUGACUUGAUCUCUUCAUCUGAGAUCCACCUUCAUCCUAAUGAGAGACAACACCAAGUAUUUGAUUGACAGCCUUUGUUGUUGCCAUAGUGUCUGGUGUGUACUCCCUACAGUACAUGUUCCUGUGGUUCUGACUCAGUGCUGCUCUUACUCAAAGCAGCCAGGUAUGGAUCUUGGACAGGCAUUCCUCAAGGUGUUAAGGAUGACGUUUCAAGAAGUGCCAUCUUCACUAAGAAUGGAGAAGUCCAUUAUCCACCUGCACAAUGGGGAAAUUCUGCUGGUUGUAUAGAGAGAGGUUAUCGUAGCAAUGAGAUUGUACUGUAGGAGUGACCAUCAGAGACUCAUCGUGAACAUCACAGUGAACAUCGCAGUGCAUGGACAGUGUGUUCCUAAAGAUGUGUUGUAGCACACACUUGUUGAGCCGUCUUUCAUGGAUGCAAGUUGGAGCUCACAUGCUGCAGUUUGAAUCUAGUUAUGUGGAGAAUACAUGGAGACUUGCACUGAGUUAUCCUCUGCAGUGGACUUUAAUCUUAAGACCGUCCUUUCACUGCACACUUUGAUAAACUUCUAACCUGUAGCCUUUCAGUGCUGCUAAUGUAAAGAAAACCUGCCAGGGACAGUAUUACCUGAAAGGACAUUGGUUUUAAAGAAAAAUGGAGUGUGGAUGACCAGUGGUGUAGAGUUAGAACUGAUUUCUAAGUGUUCCAAUCACAGCUCAAUCAUAUAGCUUAAAAUGGCUGUAUUGUGUGAACAAAUUUUGAUGCAGUACUUGAGAAUUAAUGCCCAUAUC